GCCAGUGUGGCUCAGUGGACAGAGCGUCGGCCUGCGGACUGAAAGGUCCCGGGUUCAAUUCCGGUCAAGGGCA
rnacentral:tRNA from 1 species